GACGAACGCUGGCGGCGUGCCUAAUACAUGCAAGUAGAACGCUGAAGAGAGGAGCUUGCUCUUCUUGGAUGAGUUGCGAACGGGUGAGUAACGCGUAGGUAGCCUGCCUGGUAGCGGGGGAUAACUAUUGGAAACGAUAGCUAAUACCGCAUAAAAUUGAUUAUUGCAUGAUAAUUAAUUGAAAGAUGCAACUGCAUCACUACCAGAUGGACCUGCGCUGUAUUAGCUAGUUGGUGAGGUAACGGCUCACCAAGGCGACGAUACAUAGCCGACCUGAGAGGGUGAUCGGCCACACUGGGACUGAGACACGGCCCAGACUCCUACGGGAGGCAGCAGUAGGGAAUCUUCGGCAAUGGGGGGAACCCUGACCGAGCAACGCCGCGUGAGUGAAGAAGGUUUUCGGAUCGUAAAGCUCUGUUGUAAGAGAAGAACGGGUGUGAGAGUGGAAAGUUCACACUGUGACGGUAUCUUACCAGAAAGGGACGGCUAACUACGUG
rnacentral:rRNA from 1 species